GCCCUGAGGUGUCGUACACAUCAGAUUGCAAAUCUGAAGGCGCAGUCUAACACCUGCCGGGGCUU
rnacentral:tRNA from 1 species